GAAAACGAUUCACUUUAGGCGGUGGAUCACUUGGCUCGUGCGUCGAUGAAGAACGCAG
rnacentral:rRNA from 1 species